CGUAUUGGAUCUGGUCCUCAACUACCUCUAGGCCAACUACGUUGGUUACAAAGGUCUAGAAGUUACACAAAAUAUUUUCUAAGAAAAUGUAUCGAUUAAUAUGUUGUGCAUCAUCUCUAGGUACUAGAUCUUUAGAGCAUGAUUAUUGCAGUUUUUUAAGAGAAUUUUUAAGCUAAAUCACUCAUUUAAUUAAAUCAAAAGUAAAUAAUUGAUCCUUAAUUGAGCAUUUUGGACACCGAUCUUUAGAGGGAUUUUAAACACACGUGUCAGUACACAAUCAAACAUAAAAAAAAUUUCUCUCUUUAUUUUCUUUUCUUUUUGUUUCUUCGUCUUCUCUUGUUUUUUCCGAAAGACAACAAUGUAUUUUCCGUGAGGACGACGAAGGCGGUUCUUUUCUUUAUGUUUCUGUUGUUAAAAAUUCAAUUGGUUUCCCUUCGAUGAGGAUCAGAGUCAUCCAUUCACUCUUCUCCGCCGUUUCUCGCAAACACACCACUUGUUUCUCGUCGUCGAGGACUCAAUGGUCUCAGCUCAGCCCUGGAAGAACAGUUCCCUUGAGAAAAAGAUUCUUCUUGUUGCCUCCAAAAGCCACCACAGAGCAAUCAUGUCUUAAAUUGAUUUUCCCAAAAGUUGUAGCCUUCGCUGUUGAAAGUUCUAAAUUUAGAGAGUCUUUUGGUAUUUCCUUUAAGGUCAAGUGGGAGGAGAAGACGUGGAUAGCAACAUCAUGCCGUAUUGCAUCAUCAACAAGGCUGAGAAGAAAAUAACCAAUUGUUAUAUAUUUUUUCUGCAGUCGUUCUAGUACGAUGGCAAAGCGAUCAUGUCAAAUGAGGAGUUUGAUAACUUUAAAGAAGAGUUGAUGUGGGAAGGAAUCAGUGUUGUCAUUGUAAGUAAUCAACUAUUAUUUUUGUUUUUGGUUUCUUAGGGUAAAAGCUUCAUCUUUGAUUUGGUUACAUGAAAUAGUAGGUUUUGAUGAACAUAGAUUCUUGGAAGCUUCAAUGGCUUGUGUUUCGGGAAAUCUGAUCCUCAAUGAUGAAGAAUUUGAUCAGCUCAAACUCAAACUUAAGGUUCUAUUCCACUCAAAAUACACAUAUCCUCAUUUCUCUGAGCUUCAGUUUUUAAGGAUUCUUUCUGCUUCUGUAGAUGGAUGGUAGCGAGAUUGUGUGUGAGGGUCCAAGGUGCAGUCUCCGUAGUAAGACGGGACGUAAUGUUGUGAUCGAGCAAAGUUGGGG